rnacentral:lncRNA from 1 species
UACAAACAAACAAACAUCUCAUUCUCAUCACUUCUUCCCUUUUCUUGUGGUAGCCCCACCUCUCUUCGGCGCAGCCGCUGCUUUCUUAGCCGCCGGCGCCGCCUUCUUAGCCGGCGUCUUCUUCACCGCAGCCUUCUUCCCCGGUGACGUUCUAGUAGAAGUCUUUGCAGCCUUAGCCGCUGGCUUCGCAGCUGCCUUCUUCUUCGCAGGAGUUGCCGCUUUCGGCUUAGCAGCUGGUUUCGCCUUCACAACCGGCUUAGCCUUUGCAGCCGGUUUAGCUUUCGCAGCCGGCUUUGCCUUUGCAGCCGGUUUAGCCUUCGCAGCUGGUUUAGCUUUUGCAGCCGGCUUGGCUUUAGCUGGAGCUUUGGCUUUCGGCUUAGCUGCAGCCUUAGGUUUUGAAGCUGCGGCUACCUUCUUCUUAACCGGUGCUUUCUUCUUCGCAGCCGGCUUCUUCUUCGCCGGAGCUGAUGCACUAGCAGAUUUAGCCGCUGGUAGCUUGUAAGAAGCUUUGACUUUGACCAGCUUACCUCCGGCAACAAACUUCUUCAAUUGAGUCAACAACGUCUUCUUAAAACUCGCCGGAAGAUUCUUCUGCUUCUCUUCGAUAAACUUCGCUAUCGCAUACUGACUCGAUCCGUUUCUCUCCUUCAACGUCACAAUCGCUUCCUUAAUCAUCUACAGUUUCACAUCGAACGUCAGAUAUUUCAAAUCGAACAACAAAUUCACAUCAAUUAUUCAAACAAUCAACAGUUUCAGAUCAAUUACUCAAUCGAACAACAAAUUCAGUUCGUUUAUUCAAUCGAUAACAACUAAUUCAGAGCAGUUAUUCACUCGAACAACAAGUUCAGAUCUAUAAUUCAAUCGAACAACAUAAUCAGCUCAAUUAUUCAAUCGAACAACGAAAUUAAAGCGAUUAUUCAAUCAAACAACAAAUUCAGAUCAAUUAUCGAAUCGAACAACAAAAUUAGGUCAAAAAACGGAAAUGUAAACAACAAAUCAUACCUCAAAGUACGGAGGAUGUAGAGCAGGUUUUUUAGCUUUUCGUGGAGCAGAAGCUUUCUUCGUCUUCUUCACUUUCGCAUCCUUAGCCUCGGUUUCAGCCGGAGGAGCUUCCGCCGUCGUGUCGCCGGCGGCGGCCGGCUCCGCCACAGUAGGCUCAGUCGCAACAAUCGGUUCUUCCGUCGCCAUUACGUGAGCUAGGGUUUCGUUAGGGUUUUGAUAUAGCAGAUCGGAAAUUGCAGGUGUGUGAUGUUGAUGAUGAUGAUGAUGAUGAUGAUGAAAUUUGGGAUUUAAAUAAAGUGAAUUUAAUGAGGGGUGUAGAGAUACUGAAAUCUGAUUGGUUGAUAGGCCUACCACACGGAUGGUGAGAGUUUGAAUAUUAUCCGUUUGAUUAUUUAAGAUCAACGGCUACAAGACAAGAUGGAUGAGGUGUUUAAUUAGAGGUGUAAUGAAGAUUUUGGAUGAAUGGUAGGCAUGAGAAUUAAGUUAGCUUUACGAUGAAUAUUCGCAUUGUCGUUAACGAUAAGUCGUUUAGGAGAUAAUUGGUUUUAAAUCGGUGAUGGUCCAAACUUACGUAUUUUAACAAGGAAUUGCAUUUU